GCUAACAGCUCUGGACGAGGGAGCUUGGAGACUUGCGUUUGAAUUCUUGCUCUUCUGCCCACUCGCUUCCCUUCUCUGGGUCUUAGCUUCCCUCUAUGCUACCCAUCCUCCAGCUGCCAAAAAGGAGGGGCUCCGGCCGGUUAUCUGAUGAUUCCUCCAGCUGUGGCAGCUUGUUCUCCCAAAAUGUGCUUCAGCUUCCUGACAAGGACUCCUUCCCUUCAGGAGCCAAAAAGAAGAGAACAGGACCCUCUCUUCCCGCCCAGGAGCGUAAGGAGCGGGGCCUCUCCAGCCACCAGUGGGGGCCACGUCUGACUUCAGCCCCCCGGGAAAACGCUCGCUGACUCUGCCCGGAGCGCCAGCUGCCCCGCGGUCCCCUCUGAAGCCAGUCACGCACCUGCCUCGCUUCAGGUGCUAAUCCAUCAGCUGGGUUUCCUGGGGAAACAGAACUCAUUCUUAAGCUCCCUUUUAUGGCUUUUACCCAGAAUUGAUUUGAAUAAAUCAGUCUAAUGCUCUCUCUACAAUGGAACCAAUUGUGGAAGAGCUUUAUUUGCUCAGCUCUCAAAGCUGGCUGGAGCUGCCUUCUUCCCAUCCCAGGGCUGAUGGAGGAAAAGGAAACACGCAUGGUGAAUCUGACAAAGGAGGAUUGCUCGAAAGGAACCAGUGUUUGUGAGCAGCCCGGUAUAUACACGUGUGUUUUGGAGUAAACAGCCAAGCCAGUAGCCAAGUGGUGGCAUUGUUGUGGACCUGUGAGCAUCCAAUCCCCUUCUUCCGGACAAGCUUGAUCCAGGAGGACACAAG
rnacentral:lncRNA from 1 species